UUUUAUGCCCCACCUACGAUAGUAUAGGGGCAUUAUGUUUUCUGGUCUGUGCCUCCGUUCGUUCGUCCGUGCGUCCGUUCGCUUCAGGUUAAAGUUUUUGGUCAAGGUAGUUUUUGAAGAACUUGAAGUCCAAUCAACUUGAAACUUAGUACACAUGUUCCCCAUGAUAUGCUCUUUCUAAUUUUAAUGCUAUAUUAUAGUUUUGACCCCAAUUUCAUGGUCCACUGAACAUAGAAAAUGAUAGUGCGAAGUUCAGGUUAAAGUUUUUGGUCAAGGUAGUUUUUGAUGAAGUUAAAGUUACAUCAACUUGAAACUUAGUACACAUGUUCCCUAUGGUAUGAUCUUUCUAAUUUUAAUUCCAAAUUAAAGUUUUGACCCCAAUUUCACGGUCCACUGAACAUAGAAAAUGAUAGUGCGAGUGGGGC
rnacentral:lncRNA from 1 species